rnacentral:rRNA from 1 species
UACGUAGGGGGCAAGCGUUAUCCGGAUUUAUUGGGCGUAAAGAGCUCGUAGGCGGCUUGUUGCGUCGACUGUGAAAACCCGCGGCUUAACCGCGGGCUUGCAGUUGAUACGGGCAGACUAGAGUGUGGUAGGGGAGAUCGGAAUUCCUGGUGUAGCGGUGAAAUGCGCAGAUAUCAGGAAGAACACCAAUGGCGAAAGCAGCUCUCUGGGACGGUACUGACGCUGAGACGCGAAAGCGUGGGGAGCGAACAGG